GGGUUCCCUUGCCCCCACUCUUGCAAUCUUCAAGACGGUACCUCAGUCUGCAGCGAGCCCCCGCCUCGAACCCAGCCGCUCCGCCAGCUCUCACGUCCAUAUGGAGGCUUGUUCGGAUGGCACGAGCUGAUGUCGGAAUCCCCGGCAGGCCGCCUUUCAUGAGGAUGACAUUCCAGGGAGCAGUGGUGGAAGCGUAAUUUUAUGUUGAAGCCUUGGCUGAAAUGGGAGUCGGCGUGGAGAGAUUCGAGCAUCUUUUCCCAAACUUCGGAGAACUAACCGGCUGAAAUCGAAUAACCUCCAGACUCGAUCAAAUUCAACCUUCCUAACAAGAAAGCACGUAGAACUACGAAAAAGAUCAGAGAGAUGCAGGGUGGCAGGCAAACAACAUCAAAAAGAAAAUCAAACGGACAAAUUGGACGAAUGGAAAUUUGAAUUCUACAGGAGGAAAUACGACGUACGACUGCAUAAACAAAGCGUGGGCGAUGAGAGCAUUGGCCGUGAUCUCCCGUGAGAUUCAGAAUCCCAAAUAUGGUCUUGUAAAGGUUACACGAGGUAUCAGGACCAAAUCUGGGUCGUCGUUUCUAUGAAUGCCCGUUGAACCGAUUUUUCUUUAUUUUUGCCAUUUGUAAAAUAAAAUACUCGAGAUGCCGUUUCUUUCCUCAUUUUA